AACGCUGGCGGCGUGCCUAAUACAUGCAAGUCGAGCGGACCAAAGGGAGCUUGCUCCUGGAGGUUAGCGGCGAACGGGUGAGUGACACGUGGGCAACCUGCCUGUAAGACUGGGAUAACAUCGAGAAAUCGGUGCUAAUACCGGAUAAUAAAAAGAACUGCAUGGUUCUUUUUGAAAGAUGGUUUCGGCUAUCACUUACAGAUGGGCCCGCGGCGCAUUAGCUAGUUGGUGAGGUAACGGCUCACCAAGGCGACGAUGCGUAGCCGACCUGAGAGGGUGAUCGGCCACACUGGGACUGAGACACGGCCCAGACUCCUACGGGAGGCAGCAGUAGGGAAUCUUCCGCAAUGGACGAAAGUCUGACGGAGCAACGCCGCGUGAGUGAUGAAGGUUUUCGGAUCGUAAAACUCUGUUGUUAGGGAAGAACAAGUGCCGUUCGAAAGGGCGGCACCUUGACGGUACCUAACGAGAAAGCCACGGCUAACUACGUG
rnacentral:rRNA from 1 species